rnacentral:rRNA from 1 species
GACGAACGCUGGCGGCAUGCUUAACACAUGCAAGUCGAACGGAAAGGCCCUGCUUUUGUGGGGUGCUCGAGUGGCGAUCGGGUGAGUAACACGUGAGUAACCUGCUCUUGACUUUGGGAUAACUUCAGGAAACUGGGGCUAAUACCGGAUAGGAGCUCCUGCUGCAUGGUGGGGGUUGGAACGUUUCGGCGGUUGGGGAUGGACUCGCGGCUUAUCAGCUUGUUGGUUGGGUAGUGGCUUACCAAGGCUUUGACGGGUAGCCGGCCUGAGAGGGUGACCGGCCACAUUGGGACUGAGAGACGGCCCAGACUGCAACGGGAGGCAGCAGUGGGGAAUAUUGCACAAUGGGAGGAAGCCUGAUGAAGAAACGCCGCGUGCGGGAUGACGGCCUUCGGGUUGUAAACCGCUUUCGCCUGUGACGAAGCGGGAGUGACGGUAAUGGGUAAAGAAGCACCGGCUAACUACGUG